CCCAUUGUCGCUCCCUUGACCACUUUU
rnacentral:miRNA from 1 species